rnacentral:tRNA from 1 species
GCUAGCGUAGCUUAAUUAAAGUAUAACACUGAAGAUGUUAAGACGAGCCCUACAAAGCUCCGCAAGCA